CCUACCCAUACAGGCUGGCAAGUGUGGUUGCUGUGUCACAUGUGUAUCAGGAAGUGGCAGAGAGCAGAGAGGCUUUGUCUACCCUCAAUAUUCUGACCUAUGAACAUCUGAAUGAUCAGUAGUUUUAAUU